GUCUGAGCAGGGCUGUGUGGUUGUCUAGCAAAAGGGGAGGACAGCAGCUAGAGGGAGCUCCUCCGGGCUGCAUCUGCUGCCUGCGUGCCCGGGUUGGUUGCCUUUCAUAGGCUUCUGCCGGGGAGUCCCUCCUUCGCUCCCCCCCUCCCCCGCCGCCAGCCGCCUUCCCCCCGUGAUGGCGGAGGACAGCGAGUCUGCAGCCAGCCAGCAGAGCCUCGAGCUGGACGACCAAGACACCUGCGGCAUCGACGGCGACAAUGAGGAGGAGACGGAGCACUCCAAAGGAAGUCCAGGAGGAGACCUGGGAGCUAAAAAGAAGAAGAAGAAACAGAAGCGAAAAAAGGAAAAGCCAAACUCCGGAGGUACCAAAUCAGACUCUGCGUCUGACUCCCAGGAGAUUAAAAUUCAGCAACCUUCAAAAGAGCAGCCCUUCCAUAUUUCCACUGAAGCUAAUGGGACUUUGAAAAAGCUCAUGGAUUUGAAAAAUCCAGCCAUUCCAAUGCAGAAGCUGCAAGACAUUCAAAGAGCCAUGGAGCUACUCUCAGCCUGCCAGGGUCCAGCAAAGAACAUUGAUGAGGCAACCAAACGUAAAUACCAGUUUUGGGAUACGCAGCCUGUACCCAAGCUUAGUGAAGUUAUAACAUCUCAUGGUGCAAUUGAACCAGAUAAGGACAACAUCCGUCUAGAGCCAUAUUCUUUACCACAGGGUUUUACAUGGGACACUUUGGAUCUGAGCAAUGCUGAAGUCCUGAAGGAGUUGUACAUGCUGCUAAAUGAAAACUAUGUAGAAGAUGAUGAUAAUAUGUUUAGAUUUGACUAUUCUCCAGAAUUUCUCCUAUGGGCAUUGCGACCUCCAGGCUGGCUUCCGCAAUGGCACUGUGGAGUCAGAGUAUCAUCUAAUAGAAAAUUGGUAGGGUUCAUAAGUGCCAUUCCUGCACACAUUCGGAUUUAUGAGAGUGAGAAGAAAAUGGUAGAAAUUAAUUUUCUGUGUGUCCAUAAAAAACUGAGAUCUAAGCGAGUAGCACCAGUCCUGAUCCGGGAAAUAACUAGGAGAGUAAACUUGGAAGGGAUUUUUCAGGCAGUUUACACUGCAGGUGUGGUACUUCCCAAACCUGUAGCAACUUGCAGGUACUGGCAUCGAUCACUGAACCCCAGAAAACUGGUAGAGGUGAAAUUUUCUCAUUUGAGUAGAAAUAUGACUUUACAGAGAACAAUGAAGCUCUACAGACUUCCUGAUGCCACAAAAACUUCAGGGUUGAGACCUAUGGAACGAAAAGAUAUUAAAGCAGUGCAAGAAUUAAUCAACAACUACUUGAAGCAAUUUAAUCUUGCUCCUGUUAUGGAUGAAGAGGAGGUGGCCCACUGGUUCCUACCUCAGGACCAUAUUAUUGACACCUUUGUUGUAGAGGGAAGAAAAAGGAAGCCCGUCUCAAGUCUCUUCAACAACAGCCCUGUCCCUAUGAGAGGUGAAAAAAUGUUCUCCCUGGGCACAGGGACUUCUGGGACAAGGUGCCCCUUGACUCCGAAGAAGACAGGACAGACUUUUUGCUCAGAAUUCCAUGUUUGCAUUGGACCUCCGAGAGAGCUUUGGAUUACCCUCAGCAACCAAAGAAAGGAUUUGAUGUGUUCAAUGCACUAGACGUGAUGGAAAACAAAACAUUCCUGGAAAAACUGAAAUUUGGUAUUGGAGAUGGCAACUUGCAGUAUUACUUGUAUAACUGGAGGUGUCCUGGGAUGGAUUCUGAAAAGGUUGGUCUUGUAUUACAAUAAGGAGGAAGGACACUUAUAUUUAUAGUACCUGGAAGUAAGCAUCUGGGCAGAUGGAAGCUCUUGGAUCCGUACAGUUCAAGAGGAGUUAAAAGCACAAUGCCCGAUGAACUUUAAAUAAAAUGAUGGAACAUUGGGGCUGUGCAGAGGGAAGGGAAGAAAUCCAUGCGUGACCAAUCCUACACACCUUCAGCCCUGAACAGAAAAGCUCAUGAACCUUUUAUUGUUUGUCGAUGAAAAGAAAUAAAGCACAUUCGUUUAAUUUUCAACGCUUAGCUCGCAUCUUGAUGAAAAGGUUUAUUUUCUCCCUCCCUUCAUCUACCCCAUCUCCUGCAUAAGACUGUUUUUGUACAAAAACUCAGUUGCAGUGGUGGAAUAGAGUACAAAAAUCUUUACUGUUAAUGUGACUGAACUGCUGCAUUUCUAUUUAUUAAGUGGUAGUGUAGGUUUGUCAAUGUAAAAAAUGAAGGAGCCAAUUUGAGUAUUUUUGCUUAUUUCCAUCACAUGGAUGUCAUCAUCGAAGGGAAAAAAAUAUUGGGAGUGUGACUUUGUUAGAAAACAUGAAAGUCUUGGAUGUCUUUUGUAACUGUGGAGUAGUACAGAAAUGUGCUGGCUUGGCUGGUGCAUUUGUUUCUCCAUGAGCAAUGCUGCCAAAUCAAUAAAAAUACAGAUUUGUACUUUGAUCUGCAGUAGAUCACCCAUUUGACUCUAUAGUGUUGCACUGUUUAGUGCAGGUGUUUAUAUGUUGCCUGAAUCAUCAUAUUAUUCUAGUCAUCUUACAGUUGUGAGGGAGAAAAUCCUUUAGCUUUUUGGGUGAUAAGUUAAGAGGGGCCUGUACAUAAAACUAAGCAUUUUAGUACUGCUGUUGGGAUGUUAAGACUGAAUGUGUUCAAGGCUUUUGCAAAGUUGCACAUAUUCCUUUUGUCUACUUGCUUUUUUAAAAAAAAGAUGUCCAUAAUUUUAAACUGAAAGUAUGUUUGUGUAAAUAAGUAAAAUUGUUGCUGGUAAUAGUA